UUGAAACAAAUGAGGAAGCUUUUUGACCAGGAAUGGGAGAGAACAAAGCCUACAGCAAGCCUGUCCCUCCAUCCCUCCAUGCAAACUGCAAAUAGGCGACCAUGCCUUCCAAAGAGGGAAGACAGCUAGCUGGAGCCACUCCUGCUGCUGCUGUGCUAGGUCGUGUUACAAGGGUGGGCUACAUUGCUAAGUGGCAGCUGGGCACUUCAAAGGGAGCCUCUAGAAGAUAGUAGCUGCGUCUGAAAAGCAACUGGCCCCACCAUCCCCCUCCCCAGACACAUGGCCUCCCUCAUCCCUGUCACUUGAGCUAGAAGGGAGCUGUUUGUGAGGUCAGCGUGACCACUCCCCUGCUCACGUUGCUACUGCAAGUAUGGGAGUGUAUUUGUAGGCAAUGGUAUGCAAGCCUCGACGGUGCCCUGAGCCAGCUGGCCAGAGCUGAGUGCCAUGUAGAUACUGCAAUGUGCCUGGUGGCCUCGACCGUGCAGGGAAAGUUUGUUAGGUCUGCUCACAAUAUGCUGUAUAAGUCCUAAACUUGCUGCAAUUUUCCUAACCACUUUAGUACAAAGCACUUCUCAAGAAGGGUAAAAACUGCACAGGUUCCACACAGCACAAAGCCAGGCUACUGUAGAAAGUCAUUAUCAGGAAUUUACAAUUUUGCUGAGCCAAAAUGAAGAAGUGACAAAUAAGAAGAUAUUCACAAAACAGACAGAGUAUGGAAAAGAGCCACCCAUGCCACCCAAACACUUUUCAUCAAUGAAGACUCUACCAAUGAUCUUCACCAUUUCUUAAAAACGACCAUGAUCUUUUAACAUUAAACAUUUAAUU